rnacentral:rRNA from 1 species
AAAAGGUAAAUAAGGGCACUAAUAGUGGAUGCCUUGACAAUCAAUACCGACGAAGGACGUAGAACUCUGCGAUAAGUCUUGGGGAGCUGAGAGCAAGCUUUGAUCCAGGAAUCUCCGAAUGGGGCAACCUAAUACGAGUCAUGUCGUAUUGCAAUUACUUGAACACAUAGAGUAAUUAGACGGGAACCAGCCGAACUGAAUCAUCUUAGUAGGUUGAGGAAAAGAGAAUAAACAAUGAUUCCGAAAGUAGUGGCGAGCGAAAUUGGAACAGCCCAAACCUUAACAUAGCCAUACGGUUUAACGGCCAGAGUUAUGAAAGGGGUUGUGAAAUUAGAUAAUUUUUAUGUAUAGCGGUCGACCAACUGUUGUCUACUCACUGUUGAGGAGUAUAUGCCUGGCCAAGCGGCCUUGAGCGCCUCCGAAAUGGUGAGUAGACAACAAUCCGACGGUUAUACAUAAAAACCAACAUCGUUAAAUGAGUGGAUAAUGAUAAAAUCCUUUAGAUCAUAGCAGAAGUGUUUGAAUGGCACACCAUAGAAGGUGAGAGUCCUGUACGCGAAAUGGUCUUAGGCAUUAUAUAUCUUUUUUCAAGUAGGACGGGGCACGAGAAACCCUGUUUGAAUCCGGCAGGACCACCUGCCAAGGCUAAAUAUAUUGAUUGAUCGAUAGCGAACUAGUACAGUGAUGGAAAGGUGAAAAGAACCCCGGGAGGGGAGUGAAAUAGAACCUGAAACUUAGUGCCUACAAGGUGUCGGAGCAGCUUCGGCUGUGACGGCGUGCUUUUUGUAGAACGAUCCAGCGAGUUAAUGUUGUCGGCAAGGCUAAGUCAAAUGAUGGAGCCACAGUGAAAGCGAGCCUUAACAGGGCGAUUAGUCGGCAGUAUUAGACCCGAAACCGGGUGACCUAACCAUGAGCAGGUUGAAGCUGCGGUAACACGCAGUGGAGGACCGAACCAGGGUACGCAGUAAAGUACUUGGAUGACUUGUGGUUAGCGGUGAAAUGCCAAUCGAACUCGGAGAUAGCUGGUUCUCCUCGAAAUAGCUUUAGGGCUAGCGUUGUGUUAGUAAUCAUCAGGGGUAGAGCUCUGAAAAGGUUUGGGGCCGGCAACGGUACCCACCCUUAUCAAACUACGAAUACUGGUGGUGUAACCACAGCAGUCAGAACGGCGGGGCUAAGCUCGUCGCUCAAAAGGGAAACAGCCCAGAUCAUCGUCUAAGGUCCCCAAUUAACACUAAGUGGGAAACAAAGUGAAAUUUCUUAAACAGCUAGGAUGUUGGCUUAGAAGCAGCCAUUCAUUUAAAGAGUGCGUAACAGCUCACUAGUCAAGAGAUUUUGCGUGGAAAAUGUAACGGGGCUAAAGUGUUAAACCGAAGACAUGGACUUCUGCUUUUGCAGGAGUGGUAGAGGAGCGUUGAUAUCGCAGCGAAGUCAGACUGGAAAGUCUGGUGGAGCGUUAUCAAGUGAGAAUGCUGGAAUCAGUAACCUUAAGGCAGGUGAGAAUCCUGCCGGUCGUAAGAGCAAGGUUUCCAGGGCUACAGUAAUUGUCCCUGGGUUAGUCGGUCCUAAGCCGAGGCGUAUCAGCGUAGGCGAUGGACAACAGGUUAAUAUUCCUGUACAGG